rnacentral:sRNA from 1 species
CACUGAGUCAUCUCUCUAGCCCCCAGACACACAUUUUUCUUAUGAAAUACAAUAUGGUAGAAAUUUUAAUUUUCUCCUCCCAGAAACACACUAGAAGUUUCUAAAAAUCUACAUUUUGAAAUGAAGAUCAAAGAGAUUAAGCUAGCUGCAUGAAAUGUUGGGUCGUUACUCCAGCUCACUUACUCAGCUUGGAGUCCGUUCUCACAGGCAGUCUCUCCUUAUCAACCUCAACCACUCUAUAAGAAGUAUCAUCCGGGUUCUAGAAGAAAGACUUCUUCUAGCUAAAGUAAUGAAUGAGUAAGUGAGUGGAUGAAUGGAUAUGUAUACGUGGAUGAAUGAAUGAAUGAAUGAAUGAAUGAAUGCAUGAGCAAGUAAAUAGUGAAUGAAUAAGAUAUGAAGGGAAUAAUUGGAAGUAUGAAUGAGUAAAUGAGUGUAUGUGAGUGUAUAGUGAGUGGAUGGAUGGAUGGAUGGAUGGAUGGAUGGAUGGAUGGAUGGACGGACGUAGGAACAUACAUAUUUACUCAGAUCCUGGAGUAAAAAUCUCAGUUUUCCUUCCUACCUGUUCUCUACUACUUCCAUUGAGACCUGUUCCUCUACCUUUAUUUCCAGAAAGCUCCUAACAGUUACGCUGGUGGGCCCCAGUGCACCUAACUCCUAGUAAACUGUAAUAUAAGAGUAGUUAGUGCACUAGUGGCCUUGGAUGGAGGGAAACAGACAGACUGGAAGGACAGGGGAGACAAACCACUGCUGUCGUGAAUGAGAACAAUCUACAUGUAUUAACUUUGCCUUUUUCUCUGUCAGCUUUCCAUAGAGUCCGUGAAGAGCGGCCUCAUGUUUUAAAAGCUGGGACCUAUGUUACCCACAAGGGUAUACAGCACACUGUCUAUAACCCACCGUGUGUUGAGAGGGUGUUUGUGUUCCAGUCUGACUGAUACCACAGUGAAAUGGAUAUACACCCGUUUGCACAAAUGUAUAAGUUACAGGGACAGAGAGGAGGAGAAAGGCCGUGGGAGAAGAGGAAGCAGCCAUGAGAGGAGAUGGACCGUGAAGAAGUCUAGACUAAGAGACAUAACCACAAAACUCUAAGACAUCGCUGGAAAGGACCUCACACCAUGAUCCUGACAACGCCUAUGACAGACGGGAUCAGGAUAUGGACAUGCCACUCCCACCUUAAGCCUGCCAGAAGAGAGACGAUCCAGCAGUCAAGGUUCCAUCCGAGGAAACUUCCAGGCGAAUAGCCACAAGAAUGAUAGAAGGUCACCCCACACCCUGUCGAUCUGCUGAAACUGUGACUCCAGUGCUCCUGAUCCUGCUCGCUUGCUGCUUGCUGUUUACGCUUUGAGCUUUUUGAGACCAGCCAGUAGCGCCCUUCUUGCACUUGGGUACCAGCAGGGGGCGAUACAGCAAGUUCACAGUGGGUGGCAAGAAGGCUAAUUGGAUUGCUGGUACUUAACUCCUCUCUCCCCGAACUUAACACCGAACUCUUGGUUGUCUGACAGUGACCCUGCAAUGGAAAUAAGAUACCCCCGGCCUCUUCCCACCUCUGGAAUUGCACUGUAACCCCCACUGUUGCAGGAUACAUGCUGCCACCAGAGAAUGCUUGGUGAGCUUGUACCUCAGGGCUUACUCCAUGCAUUAUGACCUGGUUGUAAAUAGAACUGAGGAUCUCUAAGCUCUAAUACAGCUUGUACCCAAAGUGACUUAUUAUUCAGGGGAGCAUGUCUUCAACCAACUGGCACCUCCAAACAAUCGAGUUAAAAGUGACUAUUUCUGCUGUGUUUCUAGGUUCUCUCCUUGGCAUAGGGCUGGCUGGGGCUGCUAGUGCAAGGGCCUCAGCCCUAAUACUCCAAAAUAAAAAUCGAAAGGCCCUAUGGAUAGCGACAGGUACAGAUAUAUAGGAGAUGGAAAAGUCCAUCCUGACCCUGCAGGAUUCCCUAUCCUCCCUGGCAGAAGUAGUCCUACAGAAUAGAAGACUCGCUGUUCUUCCACAGGGAGGACUCUAUGCAGCAUGUUGUUUCUAUGUUGACCACUCAGGGGCCAAAGAAUCCAUGGCCUUAGUCAGGAAGAGACUACAAGACAGCGCCUACUGAUGCUAGCUUCAACUUUUGGUCCCCACAUAAUCAAUGCUUUAGUUAGAGUUGUCAAGGAACGGAUUUAUUCUCAAACAACACCACCAGCCCAUAGAAACAUCUCAAGGACUCAAGAUGGCCCAAAACUGAAGGGGGAAAUGUGAAGGCUAGCUGGGCUGACUCCAUGACAGGGUUCAGUCUGCAGUUUAGCACUGGGCAAGUCCAUGCAUCAGAAGCUGCCUCUCUGUCUAGCCUGAGGCAAGGACAAUGGGUCAGCAGCAGUUUGCAGACUUCCUCAGCGACAGUUUCCAGUCCCCAUACUCUGGUAAUGGAAUGUCCCUAGAGAGGGGAUAAGGUAAAGGUCAUCCAUCCAGGAAUCCCCUAAUGUGCUUUAAAUCAGGCCUGUGAGCUCACUUGGUGAUCUCUCUGUCUUGGUAAUGGGAGGCCCCAGCGUGCUGGACUUCUGCAGAAUAAAACCCUCUUUGCGUUUACAUACUAUCCGAGUCUGGGGUGUCAGUCUUCAGUGGCGAAUCAUGGGCCCUUACAGGAGCAGUCAUGUCCUUUCUGUUUUUAUCUCUUUUUAAAUUCAGUUUCCAUCCUCAGCUUUCUGCAGAAGGAGGCUCCACCCCAUGUUGAGUCUGCUUGGCAGCUGCAGAGGACAGUUUGUACAGACUUUGAGAAGGAAAGUCAUUUGCAUUGUCCCCUGAUGCCCUUUUCAGGUGCAGGGGAGGCUUCCUCCCAUUUUUGUUCAUUACCAUGAAUCUUUUCAGGUUUUCUCUACACAGAUAUAGGAAGUGGAGCAUAAAUCUGUCUCCCUUCUUCAGAAGCCAUUGACUCAUCCAUAUCCAGAACCAUGGUCCUGGUCUUUAGUAUCAAUUCUCUAGAAUAAGCACCAGAAGUAUCCUUGGCAAACGGGUGCAAACCUGUGCCACCUGAAAAACCCUGUCCACAGAAAGGAAGCAUCUCUCUUCAUCAGUCUUCCUUAAAAUGCAGUCUGUUGGGAUGGAGAGAUGGCUCAGUGGUUAAGAGCACUGACUGCUCUUC